AAAUGAAUAGACGGGGACCCGCACAAGCAGCGGAGCAUGUGGUUUAAUUCGAAGCAACGCGAAGAACCUUACCGGGACUUGACAUCCUUCUGACAGACCCUUAACCGGGUCCUCCUACGGGCAGAAGAGACAGGUGGUGCAUGGUUGUCGUCAGCUCGUGUCGUGAGAUGUUGGGUUAAGUCCCGCAACGAGCGCAACCCUUGUCAUUAGUUGCUACCCUUCAGUUGAGCACUCUAAUGAGACUGCCGGGGAUAACUCGGAGGAAGGUGGGGAUGACGUCAAAUCAUCAUGCCCCUUAUGUUCCGGGCUACACACGUGCUACAAUGGCCGGCACAACGAGAGGCGAAGCCGCGAGGUGGAGCGAAUCUUCCAAAACCGGCCCCAGUUCGGAUUGCAGGCUGCAACUCGCCUGCAUGAAGCCGGAGUUGCUAGUAAUCGCGGAUCAGAAUGCCGCGGUGAAUGCGUUCCCGGGUCUUGUACACACCGCCCGU
rnacentral:rRNA from 1 species